GCGCCGGUGGUGUACGGCACACACACUGACUGCAUGCUGCAGUACCGAAACACAAGUAUCAGUGACGGGGUUCGAUUCCCCGCCGGUGCA